rnacentral:rRNA from 1 species
UUAUCUUAAUUGCCAGCAUUCAGUUGGCACUUUAAGAGACUGCCGGUGUUAAACCGGAGGAAGGUGGGAUGACGUCAAGUCCUCAUGGCCUUUAUGCUUAGGGCUACACACGUGCUACAAUGGGUGGUACAAAGAGAAGCCAACUCGCGAGAGCGCGCCAAUCUCAAAAGCCAUCCUCAGUUCGGAUUGGAGUCUGCAACUCGACUCCAUGAAGUUGGAAUCGCUAGUAAUCGCGGAUCAGCAUGCCGCGGUGAAUACGUUCCCGGGCCUU